rnacentral:piRNA from 1 species
UGGUAUCAUGGCAUGCACAAAUGGGUGAG